AGCCAUCCUUGAAAUACCACCCUUUACCUAUUCGUGUGCUAACCCCGAUUCCCGUGAAGCCGGGCGGGGGACAGUGAGUGCUGGGUAGUUUGACUGGGGCGGUCUCCUCCGAAAGAGUAACGGAGGAGCGCAAAGGUUGGUUCAGCGCGGAUGGAAACCGCGUGUUGAGUGUAAGAGCACAAGCCAGCUUUACUGCGAGAGCGACGGCUCGAGCAGUCUCGAAAGAGGGCUCUAGUGAUCCUGCGAUCCCGUGUGGAAGGGUCGUAGCUCAUCGGAUAAAAGGUACUCUGGGGAUAACAGGCUGAUCGCUCCCGAGCGUCCAUAGCGGCGGAGCGGUUUGGCACCUCGAUGUCGGCUC
rnacentral:rRNA from 1 species